rnacentral:rRNA from 1 species
UGGGGAAUAUUGGACAAUGGGCGGAAGCCUGAUCCAGCAACGCCGCGUGAGGGAUGACGGCCUUCGGGUUGUAAACCUCUUUCAGUACCGACGAAGCGAGAGUGACGGUAGGUACAGAAGAAGCACCGGCCAACUACGUGCCAGCAGCCGCGGUAAUACGUAGGGUGCGAGCGUUGUCCGGAAUUAUUGGGCGUAAAGGGCUCGUAGGCGGUUUGUUGCGUCGGGAGUGAAAACAUCGGGCUUAACUCGAUGCUUGCUUUCGAUACGGGCAGACUUGAGGUAUGCAGGGGAGAAUGGAAUUCCUGGUGUAGCGGUGAAAUGCGCAGAUAUCAGGAGGAACACCGGUGGCGAAGGCGGCACUCUGGGCCAGUACUGACGCUGAGGAGCGAAAGCGUGGGGAGCGAAC